rnacentral:rRNA from 1 species
GACGAACGCUGGCGGCGUGCCUAAUACAUGCAAGUCGAACGGAAAGGUCCUGCCUUGGUGCGGUGCUCGAGUGGCGAACGGGUGAGCAACCCGUGGGUAACGUGUCCCUGAUGUUGAGAGAACCUCAGGCAACUGGGGCACAUACCGGAAAGGAGCUCCUGCUGAAUGGUGGGGGUUGGAAAGUUUCGGUGGUUGGGGAUGGAAUCGCGGCGUAUCAGCUUGAUGGUGGGGUAGUGGCUUAGCAAGGCCAUGAAGGGUAGCAGGGCUGAGCGGGUGACCGGCCACGUUGGGACGGGAAUGCGGCCCAGACUCCUACGGUAGGCAGCAGUGGGGUAUAUUGUACAAUGGGCGGAGGCCUAAUGCAGCAACGCCGCGUGGGGUAUGACGGCCUUCGGGUUGUAUUCCACUGUCGCCUGUGACGAAGCGUUAGUGACGGUAAUGGGUAAAGAAGCACCGGCUAACUACGUG